CUUCUGCAGGGAAUUGACAGGUUCUUGGCCGCAUUCCUAGGAGGGCCCUGGUGGCUAUUUGUUGACCUUGGAACAGCAUCGAGAGGCUUAUCCAUCCGGGCUAUUUGAAUUCAAGACUCCGCAUCUGAGCUCAUUGAAAGUUUCCCUCACCUGUAACAAGGGAGGAAAAUGGGAUAUGGCAUCCUUUUGAAACCCUCCCAUUUCACACUCCGGGGACAGAGUGAAUUCAUCACUCUAGUAUCACCACUUUGGGGUAAAAUACCCCAAAUGGGGCCAUGAAAAUGGACAAGACUACAAGUGGACUAACAACAACAUGUGCCAGGCACUGUGCCAAAACACUUAUUUGAUCUUUACAACAACCCUGUGAGCAGGAUUUUAGUUGGAACUUCAAGGAAGACAAGAAAGUAAAUGGAUGGAGCAGAAAGAGAGCAUUCCAGACAUGGGGGAGAGACCAGAGAAAAUGCCCGGAGUGGAGAAAUGAAGUGUCUUGUUUGUGGAAGAGCCAAGAGGCUGGUGUCACUGGACUGAAAAGUAAUGGGUUAGGAAGUUUGGAAAGCUGCACCCAUCUCUGGGAGAAAAAGAAAAAGUCAAACAAACAUGAAUAAUCAAGCAAAAUAAAUUCCCAUAUUGAAGACCAUUGGAGUUAGCAAUCAAGAACUUGUCCAUCGCCUUGGAAAGAACUGUUCCAAUGGAGUUCAGAAGUCAGACUUGAACUAGACUUAGAAGUGAA